rnacentral:misc_RNA from 1 species
AACGCACAUUGCGCCCCUUGGUAUUCCGAGGGGCAUGCCUGUUCGAGCGUCAUUACAACCCUCAAGCAUUGCUUGGUAUUGGGUUCCGCUGCUCACCCAGCGGGCCUUAAAAUCAGUGGCGGUGCCGUCGGGCCCUGAGCGCAGUAAAUAUCCUCGCUACAGAGACCCGGUGGACGCUGGCCAUCAACCCCCAAUUUCUAAGUUUGACCUCGGAUCAGGUAGGGAUACCCGCUGAACUUAA